CAAUAGCGUAUAUUAAAGUUGUUGCAGUUAAAAAGCUCGUAGUUGGAUUUCUGGUCGGAGCGACCGGUCGGCGUCCUUUGUGGCGUGUGCACUGUUGUCGGCUCCGUCCAUCCUAGUGGGAAGGCGCGUUGGCAUUCAUUUGUCGGCGCGUGGCCCCGCUACGUUUACUGUGAAAAAUUAGAGUGUUUAAAGCAGGCGUUCGCUGUGAAUACAUUAGCAUGGAAUAAUGAGAUAGGACUUUGGUGCUAUUUUGUUGGUUUGCACGCCAAGGUAAUGAUUAACAGGGACAGUUGGGGGUAUUCGUAUUUUGAUGUCAGAGGUGAAAUUCUUGGAUUUUCGAAAGACGAACUUCUGCGAAAGCAUUUACCAAGGAUGUUUUCAUUAAUCAAGAACGAAAGUUAGGGGAUCGAAGACGAUUAGAUACCGU
rnacentral:rRNA from 1 species